rnacentral:rRNA from 1 species
UAGGGAAUCUUCCACAAUGGGCGCAAGCCUGAUGGAGCAACGCCGCGUGUGUGAUGAAGGCUUUCGGGUCGUAAAGCACUGUUGUAUGGGAAGAAAUGCUAGAAUAGGGAAUGAUUCUAGUUCGACGGUACCAUGCCAGAAAGGGACGGCUAAAUACUUGCAAG